GAUGAACGCUGGCGGCGUGCCUAAUACAUGCAAGUCGAGCGAACGGACGAGAAGCUUGCUUUUCUGAUUUUAGCGGCGGACGGGUGAGUAACACGUGGAUAACCUACCUAUAAGACUGUGAUAACUUCGUGAAACCGGAGCUAAUACCGGAUAAUAUUUUGAACCGCAUGGUUCAAAAGUGAAAGACGGUCUUGCUGUCACUUAUAGAUGGAUCCGCGCUGCAUUAGCUAGUUGGUAAGGUAACGGCUUACCAAGGCAACGAUGCAUAGCCGACCUGAGAGGGUGAUCGGACACACUGGAACUGAGAAACGGUCCAGACUACUACGGGAGGCAGCAGUAGAGAAUCUUCCGCAAUGGGCGAAAGCCUGACGGAGAAACGACGCGUGAGUGAUGAAGGUCUUCGGAUCGUAAAACUCUGUUAUUAGGGAAGAACAUAUGUGUAAGUAACUGUGCACAUCUUGACGGUACAUAAUCAGAAAGCCACGGCUAACGACGUG
rnacentral:rRNA from 1 species